AAGGAAGAGCGACCCUUUUAACUGCGUCCUGCCCCACCAUGCAUGCUGUUAGUGGGGUCCUGCGGGAUACUUAAGGAUGUGAGUGAAGGAUAUGGAGCGAGGGAGAGCGAUUUGGGUAAGAGGAGAAAUUGAAGCAUCCUAUAAGUGGAGUCCUGCAGGGAUGUGAGUGAAGGAUAUGGUACGAGGGAGAGCGAUUUAGGGAAGAGGUAGAUUAUUAAAGGAGAAAUUGAGGGAAAAUGAAGCUAGAUGUGAAUUAUAAGUUAGAAUUUUGCAAGAUACUUAAGCAAUAGAUAUGAAUGAGGGUAAAUUUAGGAGUAAUGAAAGUUGGGGGUAACUUAUAAGUGUGAGAGUAAUUAGAAGGAAAUGAAGGUAAAUGAAACUAGAUGUGAAUUAUAAGUAGAAUUUUUUGGAAGGUACUUAAGCAAUAGAUAUAAAUGAGGGAUAAGUGAGGGAGUGAAUAAGUAUAAUUAAUGAAAGCUGGAGGUAUUUAUAAGUGUGAGAGCAAUUAAAGUUAGAAGUAAAUUAUAAGUAAGUCGGAGAAAUUUGAGAAUAGGGAAUAGGGGAAAGAAUAAGAAAAUAAGGAGAAACUUGAGGAAAAGGAGAAAUGAAGGAGAGGAAUAAUUGGAGAAAGACUUGAACGGAAGACUUAAGAGGAAAUAAAGAGAGAAGAGGAAAUAGGAAACUGAGAGAAAAAAGGAGAGAGAGAGAGAAGAGGAAAUAGGAAACUGAGGAAAAAGGAGAGAGAGAGAAGAGGAAAAAAGGUGUGAGAGAGAGAGAGAGAGAGAGAGAGAGAGAGAGAGAGAGAGAGAGAGA